CAGGGAGACAACAAAAUGUUUAAUAUUAUUAUUUUGUCACCUUAGGUCGAUCGGUAUCUCACGUUUUUAAUUUAUUAAAAAUUUCAUUUCCUAAGUUUUUCUAGGUCACACCCAUUAUUUUUCCUGGGCCAUUAGCUCAGGUGGUUAGAGCGCACCCCUGAUAAGGGUGAGGUCCCUGGUUCAAGUCCAGGAUGGCCCAUAUCUCCAUGUUGGGGGUAUAGCUCAGUUGGUAGAGCGCCUGCUUUGCAAGCAGGAUGUCAGCGGUUCGAGUCCGCUUACCUCCACUGAUUACCACCUCUUCCGUAACCGGUAGAAAGGAAAUGUAUUGAGUUGUGAUCAAAUUCUGAAAGAAUCUAGCUUCCUAAUGAAAACCAUUAAGAUGCUGGACCCGUUGAAUUAAUUUCAUUGUUUUCAGAGAACCUUGACAACUGCAUAGAUUAUUUUUAAAGACAAUAAGCAUCUUUAAUGAUGCAGAUUUAUUAUUUGUGCAAAUGCAUUAAUAACAAUUCUAUUAAGCUGAUGCUUCAAUUUUGAAGUUAUU
rnacentral:tRNA from 1 species